rnacentral:rRNA from 1 species
UACGUAGGUGGCAAGCGUUGUCCGGAUUUACUGGGCGUAAAGGGAGCGUAGGCGGAUGUUUAAGUGGGAUGUGAAAUACCCGGGCUCAACUUGGGUGCUGCAUUCCAAACUGGAUAUCUAGAGUGCAGGAGAGGAAAGGAGAAUUCCUAGUGUAGCGGUGAAAUGCGUAGAGAUUAGGAAGAAUACCAGUGGCGAAGGCGCCUUUCUGGACUGUAACUGACGCUGAGGCUCGAAAGCGUGGGGAGCAAACAGG